rnacentral:lncRNA from 1 species
AUGUGCUACGGAAACAAAAGUGCGGUUGUGCGGAAGUGGAAACGAGAGGGGAUGGGGUGGAGCGGAGAGAAGGCGAGCUGGAACCCGGGGCUGACUUGCGUCAGGGGACCUUGGUCAGGUGAUAUUCUCCUACGAAAGAAAGACUCCCACUGGCCUUCUCCCGUGGCUUUACCAACCACACUGGCAUAUCCUCUGUCAUACCUGCCACUGAGCCGUAUCUUAAACAAUAUGGCACGGAUGUAAGCGCCUUUCUGACUGCGAAGAAGAACAGGAUACAAGAACAGAAUUCAGCCAACCUCACUCUUGGCACAGGCAGCAGUGAGGAGCACGCUCAGACACUGCAGAAUGGGUCCUACUGCCAGUUCCUGCACAGAUACAGCAGCUACCAGCCUACCACACAAGCAUCCAGGCAUGGCCAUAACUGCGCUUAGCACGGAGAGAGCUGAUAUCCCUGGUGGUGGAUACGCAGCAGAUUUGGAGGCUCCAAGUGGAGAACGCUGCCUUCCUCUAUGGCACGUAUCAUCUUCAUAGAUUCAGCUCACCUCUCCAACCUGGUGAGUACUUUUGGAUAAUCAUUUAAUCAUCUAAUGUGCAGAGUUACAUCUGUCCUUUCCUUUGUUUAUACAUUAUUUUCUCCUUUAUUCAGAAGGUAUUUGCUUAACUAAGGUAUUUACAUGGUAGCAAUUAAUGAGCAGCUAAUGAGGCACAAAAAGCCAUGAAACUCCUUUCACCAGCAGUUAAUAAUUCAAUCCAAUAUUUUUUGUUUACUCAGACUCAAGGAUGUCCUUCAUUAAGAUCUGUUAUCAUUUCCUGCCUUGAUGAUUCAGUGUCUAUAGUGUCACCAGCCUAUUAUCAGCACAGGAGUGAAAAGAACACUGGAUUUUGAGUCAAAUCGAAAAUAUUAGUCCCAUUUCUAUUAUUUUUAGUUUGAGCAUUUUAACAAGUUAAUUAAGUUCUCUUCACUCAUAAACAGAGUAAAUAAUACUUUCCUUGAUUAUUUCAUAAAGUUAACCUGUCAAACGUGGGCAUGGAUUUGAAGGUUAUUUUCUGUAUAUAUGUCAUGUGUUUGCUAUAUAGAAAGACAGUCACAAUAUACUGUUAGCAGAAAAAGGUAAAAAAACAAUAUUACCUUAUUAUCUUAAUUUUUCUGGAAAAAAAAAACACCUAGCUAAUAAUGGCCAUCUCUAUGUGACAGAAUUAUGAACGAUAUUUAUUUUGCUCUUUUUUGCUUAUAUGUAGUUUCUAUGUUUUCUAUAAGUCCUACUUGUAUAAUAAUAAAAGUUCAAAUUUUAAAAUAAUUUUGUUGUUG